GAAGUAGUCUCUGCACAAUUAAGGUGACUGUGGUGGCAGCCCAGAAGCGUAAGUUUCUGUAGCCUGCUCUGAAAUUACACCUAGUCACAGUGGUGAGGUAGAGAGGAAUUUCACACUGUUUUACAUUGCCUGUGAUUUCAGAGCUUUCUUCUGACCAACCCAUGCAAGUUACUUAGACAGAAGUUUCCUUCUAUGACUCUUUAAGUUAUGCAGACAUUUCAGUCUAAGAAGCACUGGAUGAGGCUCCAGAGGCAGCAGUUGAAAGGAAUAGUCAGAGGAGCACUGAAAGAACAUGCCGUCAGCAAAUAUGGAGAUCCAACCUAGAUACUUGUAGCCGGCAAAUUUGUCUGCCUUCUGUAGACACUCACAUAGCUCCAGUCAGAGUAAAUUGUUUUACGUAUUUUUUCCUCAAAAGAAUCUUUUGAAGAAAAAUAUGCUAUCUUCUCUGAUUGUUUCUUAUAAACAGCCCGUUAUCAGAGAUGGGGCAGAAGGAAGGGGUGUAAAACAAAUGUAUACAACUGCCAUUUCCACUCUCCUGUGGGCUCAGGGUCGGUGUUGGGUGGGCUUAGAGGCUCUGCGCAGCCUUGCUGUUGCCUUGGCAAAGAAGUCGGUAGCGGCUAUGCAAACUCAGAGUUUGGAGGCGCUUGGAAAAGUGUAGGUAUUCCUGUGCAUCACCAAGUACGCAUUGUCAAUGGAGUUCCCAUUUCUUCUCAUUCUAAGAAUUUCUGUAAGUCCAGGAAAUAAGCUGUACUUCAUUGCAGUUCAUAUCUGGAUUUUUUUCAUCCUAAAGAUUAAGAGAUAAAGCAUUUCUGCAA